GGGCGUUAGCUCAGCUGGUUAGAGCAGAGGACUCAUAAUCCUUUGGUCGCGGGUUCAAGUCCCGCACGCC
rnacentral:tRNA from 1 species